rnacentral:lncRNA from 1 species
ACUCAAAUGCACUUUAGGCGAUGAAAGUUUUCCACAUUUGACUGUCAUAGGGCAAGAUUUUGGCGCCAACAAAAAAUUUGGCGCGCAAGUCAUUAUGGCUUGCGGGACAAAACAUUGAUUCGUUGGCUAAGUUCACGUUUGCUCGACAAUUAAGUGAAAGUUCCCGUCGAGGAUUUCUGUCAGGCAAACACUACUUCACCAAUUAGGUCUAUGCAUUCUUCUUUAUUCCCAUUCUCCUUUCCCUACUCCCCUCGACGGCUGCUGUUUCUCCCUGCAUCUCUCUCUCUCUCUCUCUCUCUCUCUCUCUCUCUCUCUCUCUCUCUCUCUUAUACACAAACACCCUACACUCUCCUCCAUCUCUUCCUCUCCCAAUUGAUUAAAGAUUAGUUUAUUUUUAUUUUUUUGAUUAAUUUUUUCUUCAAAUGUAUGAUUAUUUAAUUUAGUAGCUAUUAAAAACAAAUCAUGCAAGGAGCCUAAUGAGGAAGAACGCUCUACUUACCAUUUGAUGUAUAUUAUAUUUUGUUCUUGAGUAGUCUUUGAGGAGACCUAAAUCUAGUUAAACUUGAAUGAUAUCUUAAAACUAUUGGUGAUUCAUUUUCACCAAAUGGUCAUCAUACAUAUCGUAUUGCUAGCUACGACCGUAGGUUUAUUGCAGGUAUUGAUAUUUCCAGUAAAAUCUAGAUUUGUUAAUAGACGCUAGUCAUCGAUCAGGUAAAUGCUACUUCACCUGCUUGCUAUACACUUGAAGUACUUUGAUAGUGUGAAUGAAAUUUACAUUCUUUGAUAUGACGAGCGAUGUGAUAUAAACUUGAUUAAUGUUAUGGUAGUGUUAUAUGUAUAUAGUUUUUUACUAUAUAUAUGAUUUCAAAACGAGGGUUAUUAUAUUCAAAUGAUUUUAACUAUAUAAACUUGAUCCACUCACACUUUAUUUUGUUGACCCCUUAAGACAUAGUGAGAACAAGGAUAACCUAGGAAGUGAAGAGUAGGCUUGGCAGUGAGACCUUCACCUUCAUAUUUUGGUGAUGAGUCCCUUACUGCAGUUUAUUCUAGUAUAUAAUAAUUGCAUGAUUGUACUCUUGAUUAUGUAUGACACUACAUUGUUUUGUGUUAACUGUUGUGUGAGGCUAUUAUCAUCUUUGGUGUAAUGCAAUAAGGAUGACAUUACAUCCUUGAACAUGUGUCCCCAAGUGGAGAGGUUGAUGAGGUUUACUUGGUAGACUGUUUUGAUUAUUAAUAAAGAACAGUUUGGUUCAAAUUCAUUCACAUCAUGAUUAUCUUACGAUGGCUUUCAUCACUAAGUCGGCUUGUGACGUCAUCUUAUGAUGGGUUCAUGUGGUCAAUUUAGUGGCGGCCAGCAUAUUACGGCCUUGUAACUUGUGUUAUUGGGGUCAGAGUGUGUCAUUGAAUUUUCAAGCCUAGCAUGUGGAAAACACAAAGGGUAAUGCUAGGGAGACCAAAUUUGGGGACUAAUUUUAUAAACUAAAUGAUGUGUCACCAAUAAGAAUAAGUACGUUUAUCAAUGUGUAAGUAAUAAACCAAUCAUCAACUUUUAUGUCCUUUAGUUUU